ensembl:misc_RNA Y_RNA Y RNA
GGUCUGUCCAAAGUUAGUAAGUUAUCUCAGUUCACAAUCAGUUACAGAUCAAUCUCGUUGUUCUACUCUUCCUCCCUCUCUCACUACCACACUUGACUAGUCUUAA